UACAGAGGGUGCAAGCGUUGUUCGGAAUUAUUGGGCGUAAAGCGCGCGCAGGCGGUCCUUUAAGUCUGAUGUGAAAGCCCACGGCUCAACCGUGGAGGGUCAUUGGAAACUGGGGGACUUGAGUGCAGAAGAGGAGAGUGGAAUUCCACGUGUAGCGGUGAAAUGCGUAGAGAUGUGGAGGAACACCAGUGGCGAAGGCGACUCUCUGGUCUGUAACUGACGCUGAGGCGCGAAAGCGUGGGGAGCAAACAGG
rnacentral:rRNA from 1 species